AAUGAACGUUGGCGGCGUGGAUUAGGCGUGCAAGUCGAGCGAGAACCCGCAAGGGGGACAGCGGCGAACGGGGUAGGAAUACCUAGGUAACGUACCCUCGGGGCGAGGACAGCCACGGGAAACUGUGGGUAAUACUCGAUAAACUUCCCAAUCAUUAUGGAAGGGGAAGCAAUGGGUGUGAUUCCACCUGAGGAGCGGCUUAGGCAGUAUCAGCUAGUUGGUGAGGUAACGGCUCACCAAGGCUACGACGCUUAGGGGGUGUGAGAGCAUGGCCCCCACCACUGGCACUGAGACACUGGCCAGACACCUACGGGUGGCUGCAGUCGAGAAUCUUCGGCAAUGGACGCAAGUCUGACCGAGCGAUGCCGCGUGC
rnacentral:rRNA from 1 species